rnacentral:rRNA from 2 species
UACGGAGGGUGCAAGCGUUAUCCGGAUUCACUGGGUUUAAAGGGUGCGUAGGUGGGUUGAUAAGUCAGUGGUGAAAUCCCCGAGCUUAACUUGGGAACUGCCAUUGAUACUAUUGAUCUUGAAUACCGUGGAGGUCAGCGGAAUAUGUCAUGUAGCGGUGAAAUGCUUAGAUAUGACAUAGAACACCAAUUGCGAAGGCAGCUGGCUACGCGAAUAUUGACACUGAUGCACGAAAGCGUGGGGAUCAAACAGG